rnacentral:lncRNA from 1 species
GUGUGUUUCAGCCUUAUCUUGGAUGCUUCCUUACUUUAUUUGACUUAAUUCAGAAACUAUGCAAUAGUUUUGUGUGACUUUUGCCAUUUCCUUUUCACGUAAUGAGUUUUAUUUAAAGUCCUCAUAACCGUUUUUUUGUUUUGUUUUGUUUUCUAUGGUAAGAGUAAUCAAAUGAGAAUUGUAAACAGUUUUGGGGCCAUUUUUACUCGACAAAACUGUUCUCCUGAGCCAGACCUCUUUCUUUCUCUGAAACACACAACACACACACACACAAAUACACCUUUAAUCCUCACAAUAAUGUAUGGGUCAGGUACAAUUAUUAUCACUAUUUUACACAUGUGGAAACUGAGGCACAAUGAUGUUAAGCCACUCUUCUAAGCUCACACAGCUAGAAACUGAUCAUUUGCAUCCAGGCAAUCUAUACCAUAUCAGUUCCCUUGACAUAUUCUUGCAGGACUCACUGAGGAUCAAAGUUCUCCAAUCCUGGAACCUGUGCUAAAGCUACCCCACAGGCUGGUUCUGUUGUGUGAGACAUUGAUGCUAUCACUCACCAAUCUGCCUAGACCACAGUAGCUGACAUUUACUGAGCACUUACUAUGUGCCAGGUAAUGUGGAAAGUACUUUGUAUACAUCAUCUUACCAAAUCCUCCCAGCAGACUUAUGAAGUAGGGGCUGUUUUACAUAUGAGGAAACUGAGACCUGAAGAAGUUAAGUAACCUGCUCAAGAUAAAUGCUAGUAGGUAUAGGCUCAAGAUUUACCACUAUGCUCUUCUGCUCUCUUGCUCAGGAGCUGGGCUCCUAACUUUGUGCUCCCAGUAAGGACUCUGCUAGUGCACAUUUUCUCUGUGUCAUGACUUUUGCUACCAGCCUCCUGAAGUCAAGGGUUAAGGGUGCUUUCGAGAGGAGAAAGCCUG